rnacentral:rRNA from 1 species
UACGUAGGGUGCAAGCGUUGUCCGGAAUUAUUGGGCGUAAAGAGCUCGUAGGCGGUCUGUCGCGUCUGCUGUGAAAACCUAGGGCUUAACUCUGGGCGUGCAGUGGGUACGGGCAGGCUAGAGUGCGGGUAGGGGAGACUGGAAUUCCUGGUGUAAGCGGUGAAAUGCGUAGAUAUCCGGAGGAAUACCAAAGGCGAAGGCAGUGUCCUGGCUGGCAUCUGACGCUGAGGCGCGAAAGCUAGGGGAGCGAACAGG